rnacentral:rRNA from 1 species
ACUCGUAAUCGACCGAUAGUGAACCAGUACCGUGAGGGAAAGGCGAAAAGAACCCCGGGAGGGGAGUGAAAUAGAAUCUGAAACCGCAUACAUACAAACAGUAGGAGCCGCAAGGUGACUGCGUACCUUUUGCAUAAUGGGUCAGCGACUUACGUUCAGUAGCGAGCUUAACCGAGUAGGGGAGGCGUAGCGAAAGCGAGUUCGAAUAGAGCGAGUAGUUGC